GACGAACGCUGGCGGCGUGCUUAACACAUGCAAGUCGAACGGGCCUUGUCCCCUUUUUUUUUGGGGGUGGGGUUAGUGGCGAACGGGUGAGUAACACGUGAGUAACCUGCCCCUCACUUCUGGAUAACCGCUUGAAAGGGUGGCUAAUACGGGGUGUUCUGGCCUGCUCGCAUGGGUGGGUUUGGAAAGAUUCGACCGGUUUUGGUUGUUUUGGUGGGGGAUGGGCUCGCGGCCUAUCAGCUUGUUGGUGGGGGGAUGGCCUGCCAAGGCUUUGACGGGUAGCCGGCCUGAGAGGGUGGGCGGUCACACUGGGACUGAGACACGGCCCAGACUCCUACGGGAGGCAGCAGUGGGGAAUAUUGCACAAUGGGCGCAAGCCUGAUGCAGCGACGCCGCGUGAGGGAUGGAGGCCUUCGGGUUGUGAACCUCUUUCGCCAGUGAAGAAGGUCCUGCUCUUUGUGGUGGGGUUGACGGUAGCUGGGUUAAUGAAGCGCCGGCUAACUACGUG
rnacentral:rRNA from 1 species